rnacentral:rRNA from 1 species
GACGAACGCUGGCGGCGUGCUUAACACAUGCAAGUCGAACGGAAAGGCCCUGCUUUUGUGGGGUGCUCGAGUGGCGAACGGGUGAGUAACACGCGAGUAAACUGCCCUUGUAUGUGGGAUAACUUCAGGAAACUGGGGAUAUUAUCGGAUAGGAGCUCCUGAUGCAUGGUGGUGGUUGGUAAGUUUCGGCGGUUGGGGAUGGACUCGAGGGUUAUGCGCCUGUUUGGGGGGUUGGGGCUUUCCAAGGCUUUGACGGGUAGCCGGCCUGAGAGGGUGAACGGCCUCAUGGGGACUGCGAUACGGCCCAGACGCCUACGGGAGGCAGCAGUGGGGAAUAUGGCACAAUGGGCGGAAGCCUGAUGCAGCAACGCCGCGUGCGUGAUAACGGCCUUCGGGUGGAAAACCGCUUUCGCCUUUGACGAAGCGGGAGUGACGGUAAUGGGUAAAGAAGCACCGGCUAACUACGUG